rfam:Picea glauca, whole genome shotgun sequence.
UAACAUAAUGGGGAGCUUCCUUCACUUCAAUAGAAAGACAACAAGGAGAAUGAUCAGAUGCCGCCUCAUGUGUCUGACUAUUCUGUCCUUUCUUGGCUUAAACAGACAGAUUAGCCAAAUGCUUGAUGCGGGACCUGCUGUUCUUCUUUUUCUUGUCAUUCUUUGGACUGAAGGGAGCUCCCCUUUCUCCCACA